AACGAACGCUGGCGGCGUGCCUAACACAUGCAAGUCGAACGAGAAAGGGGCUUCGGCUCCGAGUAAAGUGGCGCACGGGUGAGUAACACGUGGGUAACCUGCCUCUAAGAUUGGGAUAACUCGUCGAAAGAUGAGCUAAUACCGGAUAAGACCACAGUUCCCGCGGGAACAGGGGUCAAAGGUAGCCUCUGCUUGCAAGCUAUCACUUAGAGAUGGGCCUGCGCACCAUUAGCUAGUUGGUAGGGUAACGGCCUACCAAGGCAAAGAUGGUUAGCUGGGUUGAGAGGAUGAUCAGCCACACUGGAACUGAGACACGGUCCAGACUCCUACGGGAGGCAGCAGUGGGGAAUAUUGCGCAAUGGGCGAAAGCUUGACGCAGCAACGCCGCGUGAGUGAUGAAGGCCUUCGGGUCGUAAAGCUCUGUCGGGAGGAACGAAUGCUCCCAAGGUUAACAGCCUCGGGUGGUGACGGUACCUUCAAAGGAAGCACCGGCUAACUCUGUGCCAGCCGCCGCCGUAACAC
rnacentral:rRNA from 1 species